GGGGGUGUCCCGGUUUCGACGGGGAGAUGCUUUGCCGAUGGUUGCGAGUCGAGUUGUCGAAAGCUCGUAAAAAAGUCGAAACUUUCAAACAUUAACUGCCGAAGAUAAUUUGGCUCUCGCCGCCUAGUGCGGUGCGUCCGCUCACCUUCGUCGGCGGAGGUGUACCGGGCGUGAACCACGCCGUCUACCCAUUUGCCGCUAGUCUCUCGGCUGCAUAGGGGAAACACCAGAGGGUAUGGCUUACCGAGAUCCGGCCCGGGGGAGCUUGGCAAGCCGAGAUUAAAGCCUAGGCUACACUCGUAGAGGCUGUCGUGGAGGCCUCUUCGGACGCGGGUUCGAUUCCCGCCACCUCCACCA
rnacentral:tmRNA from 1 species